GAAAGUGUAGCAGGGUUGGAAUCUCCUGAGAGGGUGAUGCAUGAAACUGUGAAGGUAAAGCCAAAGAUGGAAUGGAGACCCCCGCCCUAGAUUAAGAAAUGCUAGUAACAUGGAUGGUCUGCUGAGGAAAGCUGCUAGCUACAGAUACAGCCAGUCUAAAAAAGAGGCUAUAUGGGCCAAAACCAGCAAGGGCAAAGGGGCAGAGCUGCCCACGACUCUUGGAGAUCACAUCUUACCACCAUGAGCCCCAGGUGCAGGAGGUGGAGCUACACGAAAUGUUUGCCCAACUGGGUUUAGGUCUUGUUUUGUUCCCAUCCCUUUUUUCUAUGCUCUUAUUUAUCCCCUUUUCAAUGGGAAUGUUGUGCCAUUAUAUAUCAGAUGUAUAUAACUUGCUUUUCAUUUUUACUGGAGUUCAUAGCCAAGAAUUUGCCUUGAGUCUUAGAUGAGACUUUAGAUGUGGACUUUUGGGGAAUACUGGAACUGGUAAGACUAUGGGGACUCUUGGAUAUAGACUAAAUACAUUGUGAGAUUGACAUGAGCUUUUGGGGGCCAGGGGCAGAAUGUUAUGUUUGGAUAUGAACUGUCCUCCAAAAGCUCCUCUGUUAAUGCAGAAAUAUUUAGAGGUGAAAUGAUAAGAUUUAUGGAGGUAUAGUCUGAUCAGUUCAUCCUAGUUUGAACGGACUAACCAAGUCAAAACUGUAGUCAUAUUUGGGUAUGGCUGGAAUAGGUAAGUCUCUGAAGAUAUGCCCCGGAAGGGUUGAUCUUCCCUACUGUUCUCUCUCUUUGCUUCCUGAACAUUAUGAGUAGAACAGUGCUCCUCUACUAUACCCUUGUGCCUCACCUUAGGCACAGAGUAAUAGAAUUGGACAACUAUGGGUUAAAACUCUGAAACUAUGAGCUAAAAUAAACUUUUUCUCCUCUAAGUUGUUCUUGUUGGGUAUUAAAGCAACAUAAAACUAACACACACACACACACACACACACACACACAUAUAUAUAUAUACAUACAUACACACUCAUAUAAAUGGUUUACUUUUUUUUUCCCUUUUUGGUGAGUUAUAGCCAAGCUUCCCUUGCCCACUUAAUCCUAUACCAGGAACUCCAAUUGUAUUAUUAAUAUGAGCUAAAAUAUCCUUUAAUUGUGAAAUUAUGUUCAUAUAUAAAAAUGUUGGACUUAAAACAUUUUGUAUUGACAAAAACAUGCUUUAAUUUAAUUACAGGAAAUUAUCUAGAUUUGACUUUAUUUUCUGAG
rnacentral:lncRNA from 1 species